rnacentral:rRNA from 1 species
CAGUCGCCGCGGUAAUACGAAGGGUGCAAGCGUUAAUCGGAAUUACUGGGCGUAAAGCGUGCGUAGGCGGUGAGUUAAGUCUGCUGUGAAAUCCCCGGGCUCAACCUGGGAAUGGCAGUGGAUACUGGCUCGCUAGAGUGUGUCAGAGGAUGGUGGAAUUCCCGGUGUAGCGGUGAAAUGCGUAGAGAUCGGGAGGAACAUCAGUGGCGAAGGCGGCCAUCUGGGACAACACUGACGCUGAGGCACGAAAGCGUGGGGAGCAAACAGGAUUAGAUACCCCCGUAGUCCCUGUCUCUUAUAA